GACCACGAAAGACUUGAUACUCAGAUGGCCUGCGACGUCCGACACGGAGUUUUCCGCGCACCAAUGAAUGGAACAUAUGCAUUCAGUAUGACGCUAACGGCACAAGCAGGAAAAAUGGUCUAUGCACAUAUGGUUCGGAAUUCGGUAUCAGAACGUCUUGGAUACGUCUUUAUAAACGCAGACCCUGACCGAGGGCAAGAGAGAUCUACGUUUAUUCUCGUUGACCUAACAGUCGGGGAUGACGUCUGGAUAGCUUGUUUACCCGGAGAAACAACUGACAUAGAUGGCGGUCACUCGGGGCUUCAUUCGUUUUUCUCUGGAUUCCUUGUUAAUUAAAGGAACGAGCGUC